CAGCAGUGGGGAAUAUUGCACAAUGGGCGCAAGCCUGAUGCAGCAACGCCGUGUGAGUGAAGAAGGUUUUCGGAUCGUAAAACUCUGUCCUAAGGGAGAAAAAAUGACGGUACCUUAGGAGGAAGCCCCGGCUAACUACGUGCCAGCAGCCGCGGUAAUACGUAGGGGGCAAGCGUUAUCCGGAAUCACUGGGCGUAAAGGGUGCGUAGGCGGCUUGACAAGCCAGGGGUGAAAGGCAUUGGCUCAACCAAUGUAAGCCUUUGGAACUGUUAAGCUUGAGUGCAGGAGAGGUAAGUGGAAUUCCUAGUGUAGAGGUGAAAUUCGUAGAUAUUAGGAGGAACACCAGUGGCGAAGGCGACUUACUGGACUGUAACUGACGCUGAUGCACGAAAGCGUGGGUAGCGAACAGGUUUAGAUACCCUGGUAG
rnacentral:rRNA from 1 species